UGGGGAAUAUUGCACAAUGGGCGCAAGCCUGAUGCAGCCAUGCCGCGUGUAUGAAGAAGGCCUUCGGGUUGUAAAGUACUUUCAGCGAGGAGGAAGGCGGUAAGGUUAAUAACCUUAUCGAUUGACGUUACUCGCAGAAGAAGCACCGGCUAACUCCGUGCCAGCAGCCGCGGUAAUACGGAGGGUGCAAGCGUUAAUCGGAAUUACUGGGCGUAAAGCGCACGCAGGCGGUCUGUCAAGUCGGAUGUGAAAUCCCCGGGCUCAACCUGGGAACUGCAUUCGAAACUGGCAGGCUAGAGUCGUGUAGAGGGGGGUAGAAUUCCAGGUGUAGCGGUGAAAUGCGUAGAGAUCUGGAGGAAUACCGGUGGCGAAGGCGGCCCCCUGGACAAAGACUGACGCUCAGGUGCGAAAGCGUGGGGAGCAAACA
rnacentral:rRNA from 1 species